AACAAUGGAGAGAGAGGCUAUCAUGCUCAUUAGUCCUAGUCCUGGGCAAGGCCAAGGAAGAAAGUAUGCAUUGUUAUCAACUUUAAACGGUUUACUAUCUUCAUCCAUGGCCGAGAAGUUUCACGGUAAAGAGCCAAAACGUGAUAAAGAAUCAUCCACACUGCCACAAAUAUGACUGUUUUCACUAUAACUUCUGCAUUUUGCAAAAUAGUAGAAACCCGCUCAACUCCAUUGUCCGCCCUAGAGUGAUGCCACUUCACCAAUUGCAUCGAAGAAGAGAAAGAAGAAAACAAAGAAAGAGAAAAGAAAUAAAAAAUGAAAGAAGAGAUGAGGGAGAGGGAAAGAUAAAAACCUUGCACAUGGCGAGAGGGAACCCUCACACACAGGCGAGAGAUUUUUAACUGGACAAUAUCACUUCUAAUUCACCGGGGCAAUAUCAUAUAUUCCUACAGAGAAAAACUUGUCUUUAACAUGGGAGAAUAACGAGGCAUGCAAUUUUAAUCUCUAACAGAGGAGAACUCGAUUGCAGAAUUAUGAAAACUUCCAAGAAAUUGGGGAUUCGAAGUUUCGAACUGUAUUAGUUUAAAUUGAUGUAAAUAAAGGCAGCGUUCAUGCCAAAUCUGCAGAUGAAGCUGUUCGAAUUGGGCCUUCUCCGGCUCGGCGGUUGAGCUUCCUGAUUGCUCCGGCGAUCACUCGAGAUGCAAUUCAUACAGGUAUACAGGAUUCAAGGGAGUGGAAAUGGCAUAGUUCUGGUGUCUUUUCAGUUAAGUCCUUGUACAGAAGUCUGGUCAAAGGUGGAACUGGUGAUUUCCUUCACAAGGAAAUCUGGGGUAUAUUGGUUCCCUCAAAGGUGAAAUUCUUCAUCUGGCUGGUGGCACUGGAUAAGUGCCUCACCAAGAUUAAUAUGCUAAGGGGUAUAGCAGUUGACAGGUUCCUUAUGUCUUUUAUGUGAAAAGGAGCAAGAAUCAGGUGGGCAAGGCAAUAUGUGGUAAGGUAAGAUGCCACCCUUUUUCUGUUCUGAGACUUGUUGACGGGUUGGCAUGUGAAGGAUAUGAACAAGGUGGGCAAGGCAAUAUGUGGUACCAGCAGCUGCUAUAUGGACCACUUGUCUUGAGAGAAAUGUGUGGAUUUUUCCGUUUUUGAACAGAAAAAGAAACAAGCAGAAGCUACAAUCAAUCUCUUUUGGCUUAAUCAGGGACUGGCGUUUGGUUAGCAGAAGCGGAUAUUGCCAGUGCUGAAGAGAGGGCUCGGCGCAUGAGGGCCGCGAUAGAGAGGAGAGCUCAGGCGGCUAGGGCUUUGGGUGCACAGCCUAAGGCAGCAACUACAACAAAGGCACUCUAUAGAGUGCACGCCUCGGCAGGGGAAGAGGUUGAGGCCCGUAGAGGAGGUUGUCGUGGUCGAUUUUGAGGAGACCACAACUUAGUUUGGGUGAUAAGCAUCGCUGAGGGGGGACACUCCGUAGAGUGCGUGCCACGGCAAAGGGCUCGGUUGACGUAUACUUGUUGCAAUUCUGUCCGACCAUAGCACACCCUUGAGUCAAAAGGGGUGGCCAAGCAACUUGCCCAGGGUUUGAUGCUCCCUAGCAUUAGGUAAGAGGUGAACAAUCACACUAGCAGCUUCUUGGAGAGUGCGGCCCUUCAUCAAGCUAUGGCGUUUGUCUACUGAGUUGUCAGCCUCGUCGACCGCCUUUGCGCACUUUGACGUCUUUAUGAGUCGUGGGAGGUCAAGAACGUUCAACUGAAGAUGGAGUUGGUCGAGCUGAGGCGUGACGUUGAGGAGUGGGAUGACAAAGUCCACAAGCUAAAGGGUUGCGUCCAUGAUCUAAAGGAGGCGCGGGACGCACUGAGGAAGGAGUUUGGAGACAUUGAGGCGAAGAUUGCUUGGGCGAAGAAAGAGGGUGUAUCUGAGUACAAGGAUUUGGAGGCCCACUAGAACGAGUUGGGUGACUACACAACUGACUCUUGGCAGGAGGAGUUCGCUCUUUGCCAGUGAAGUGUUGUGCACCACUUCCUAGAGGCGGCUGGGGUUAUUCAAGGGUUCGGUCCAUUCGAUGUCACCAUACCUGAAGGGGAUGACACCAUUGCCGAUCUCCAAGAGCGAGCUGAGGAGCCCCCAGCUGAUGAUUGAAGUGCUUCCCCCUUUUUUUUUGUUGUAUGCAGCUCGGUAU